AGAGUUUGAUCAUGGCUCAGAACGAACGCUGGCGGCAGGCUUAACACAUGCAAGUCGAACGGGCACCUUCGGGUGUCAGUGGCAGACGGGUGAGUAACACGUGGGAACGUACCUUUCGGUUCGGGAUAACCCAGGGAAACUUGGGCUAAUACCGGAUACGUCCUUUGGGAGAAAGAUUCAUUGCCGAAAGAUCGGCCCGCGUCUGAUUAGCUAGUUGGUGAGGUAACGGCUCACCAAGGCGACGAUCAGUAGCUGGUCUGAGAGGAUGAUCAGCCACACUGGGACUGAGACACGGCCCAGACUCCUACGGGAGGCAGCAGUGGGGAAUAUUGGACAAUGGGCGCAAGCCUGAUCCAGCCAUGCCGCGUGAGUGAUGAAGGCCCUAGGGUUGUAAAGCUCUUUCGGCGGGGACGAUAAUGACGGUACCCGCAGAAGAAGCCCCGGCUAACUUCGUGCCAGCAGCCGCGGUAAUACGAAGGGGGCUAGCGUUGUUCGGAAUCACUGGGCGUAAAGGGCGCGUAGGCGGCCGAUCAAGUCGGGGGUGAAAGCCUGUGGCUCAACCACAGAAUUGCCUUCGAUACUGGUUGGCUUGAGACCGGAAGAGGUAAGUGGAACUGCGAGUGUAGAGGUGAAAUUCGUAGAUAUUCGCAAGAACACCAGUGGCGAAGGCGGCUUACUGGUCCGGUUCUGACGCUGAGGCGCGAAAGCGUGGGGAGCAAACAGGAUUAGAUACCCUAGUAGUCC
rnacentral:rRNA from 1 species